UGAACGUCUGUGAACGGGAGAGUAAUGAGAGCAACCUAAUUUUCAGCGAACCGGAAUUGGUGAAAGCCGGUAUGUAGGUCCCUCAUGAAGCGCACCCGGGAGAUGACUAUUUCAACGUGUAGAUCAUUGGAUUGAUCACAUCAGUAGAAUAGUCCGGCUGAUCUACGUUAGAGAUCUUCAAGCGGAACAACUCAAAGGAGGAUUACAACCUCACGUACGAGUGUUCAACUAGAGUGGUACCACGGGAACUAUAGCUCUCGUCUCUUAU
rnacentral:ncRNA from 1 species